CUACAUGAAUAAAGUGAUUUUGAAUUUUGAUUAAUAUUUAUUAGCUUAUAACAAUGUUUUAACCACAGCAGUUUGUAGUGUAUUAUUUGCAAGAUUACUGCUUCACGGCAUAAAUAGGCGCCGUUGGGGUAAUCUACCCUGCAUACGGUGCAAAGGAGCCUCCCACUGAUAUGAAAUGAAAAUAAAGGAAGACACGAGUAGGACGUUCAACUAAUUGUUAUUGAUACGCCCUGCCUAUUACAAUGCAUCGCCGCUCAAGAUUAUUGAUAAAUCCAAAAAUGCUGAGGGGAACUACAACUGCUCUCGUCACCUUGAGACAUAAGAUGCCAAGUGUCAUUUACCCAAUAAUUUCACUAGCUACGGUGCCCUUUAAAAGGCAUAAAGGCAUAAAAGGCAUUUAUUUUCUCAAAAUUGAUUCCUUUAGAAUUCUUUUUGAUGUCAUUUCUUAUACUACUAGAUACUACUACCGCUUCGGAAACAAAUGGCGCUCUGAGAGAGAAGAAGCGGCGCAAGAAACUCUCCCAGCAUUCUUUUUUUUUUGCGCUCUUUUCAAUA